rnacentral:rRNA from 1 species
AGCGAACGCUAGCGGCGGGCCUAACACAUGCAAGUCGAGCGCAUACCUUCGGGUAUGAGCGGCGGACGGGUGAGUAACACGUAGGUAAUCUACCCUUUGGUGGGGAAUAACCCGGGGAAACUCGGGCUAAUGCCGCACGAGGUCUACGGAUCAAAGCCUUCGGGCGCCAGAGGAUGAGCCUGCGUUGCAUUACCUAGUUGGCGGGGUAACGGCCCACCAAGGGGACGAUGCAUAGCUGGUCUGAGAGGAUGAUCAGCCACACUGGGACUGAGACACGGCCCAGACUCCUACGGGAGGCAGCAGUGGGGAAUAUUGCGCAAUGGGGGAAACCCUGACGCAGCUACGCCGCGUGGGUGAUGAAGGCCUUCGGGUUGUAAAGCCCUGUCGGGAGGGACGGAAUACUGACGGUACCUCCCCAAGAAAGACACCGGCUAACUCCGUGCCAGCAGCCGCGGUAAU